rnacentral:sRNA from 1 species
CCCCUCAACUACCACCACCUCCAGUCAGUCUCGCCUCCGACUAUCCGCUGCUCCACCCUCUGGCCCGGUAUCCUGCCUGUCCGCUGCCACCAAGGAGAGCCCGGACGGAGCAGCGAGGAGGGGAGCAGCCGGGAGUUGGGGCUUCCCCCCUGCCCAUCCCUGGCCGCUGGCCCGGGACCGAAGCCACUUGAGCGAGCAGAGAGUCGUCACCUUGUCUUCGUUGCCUUCAGGGAGCUGCUGAGAAGGACAAAUAAGAUAGCAGAAGUGAAAGAGCUUUUUUGUCUUCUUAGAAGGAAGGCUGAGAAACUAAAGAGUGACCAGUGGUUGGAUUCUUGGCGGCGCUUACCCUGAACCUGAGUGUUAGGGGAGAGGGAAUCUGCCGUUGCGGUUUCUGGAGCUGCUCAUAAGCAAGAAUUCCCUAUCCUGAUCAAGGCUUUAAGCCUAAAAGAAAGCAGAAAUAGGUCAAGGGCAGCCCAGGUGCCCAAUUUCUCUCUCUCUUCACAAGGCACCACC